rnacentral:rRNA from 1 species
UACGUAGGGUGCGAGCGUUGUCCGGAAUUAUUGGGCGUAAAGAGCUCGUAGGCGGCUUGUCGCGUCGGAUGUGAAAGCCCGGGGCUUAACUCCGGGUCUGCAUUCGAUACGGGCAGGCUAGAGUUCGGUAGGGGAGAUCGGAAUUCCUGGUGUAGCGGUGAAAUGCGCAGAUAUCAGGAAGAACACCAAUGGCGAAAGCAGCUCUCUGGGACGGUACUGACGCUGAGACGCGAAAGCGUGGGGAGCGAACAGG